rnacentral:rRNA from 1 species
UACGUAGGUGGCAAGCGUUGUCCGGAUUUACUGGGCGUAAAGCGUCCGCAGGUGGCAGUUCAAGUCUGCUGUCAAAGACCGGGGCUUAACUUCGGAAAGGCAGUGGAAACUGAACAGCUAGAGUAUGGUAGGGGCAGAGGGAAUUCCUGGUGUAGCGGUGAAAUGCGUAGAGAUCAGGAAGAACAUCGGUGGCGAAGGCGCUCUGCUGGACCAUAACUGACACUCAGGGACGAAAGCUAGGGGAGCGAAUGGG